GCCAUCUUUGUGUGGGUAGGUGAAGUCCCUCAGGGACACGUCAUCAGCCCACACUAGGCAGACUGUGAGAUUCCCGCACAUGCCCAGUGAAACACCUGGACAUGCGAACGGGAAUUUCAUCUAUUCAUUCAUCCAUCAGACAGACGAAUGAGUGAAUAGAAAUAUCAGCCGAACAAACAAACACAAUGUAUCAGUGUUUGUUUGUUCGUUUAGUUUAUUACAAGGAGGGAGCUACCGG